GACGAACGCUGGCGGCGUGCUUAACACAUGCAAGUCGAGCGAGGCCCGCCCUUCGGGGCGGUGUCCUAGCGGCGAACGGGUGAGUAACACGUGGGCAACCUGCCCCCGGCUCUGGGAUAACUCCAAGAAAUUGGGGCUAAUACCGGAUAUGACCGCUGACCGCAUGGUCUGGUGGUGGAAAGAUUUAUCGGCUGGGGAUGGGCCCGCGGCCUGUCAGCUUGUUGGGGGGGUAGUGGCCUACCAAGGCGACGACGGGUAGCCGGCCUGAGAGGGUGACCGGACACACUGGGACUGGGACACGGCCCAGACUCAUACGGGAGGCAGGAGUGGGGAAUAGUGCGCAAUGGGCGAAAGCCUGACGCAGCGACGCCGCGUGGGGGAUGACGGCCUUCGGGUUGUAAACCUCUUUCAGCAGGGACGAAGCGCAAGUGACGGUACCUGCAGAAGAAGCACCGGCCAACUACGUGCCAGCCGCCGCUGUAAAAC
rnacentral:rRNA from 1 species